UACGGAGGAUGCAAGCGUUAUCCGGAAUGAUUGGGCGUAAAGCGUCCGCAGGUGGCUGUGUAAGUCUGCUGUUAAAGAGUGAGGCUCAACCUCAUAAAGGCAGUGGAAACUACAUGGCUAGAGUGCGUUCGGGGCAGAGGGAAUUCCUGGUGUAGCGGCGAAAUGCGUAGAGAUCAGGAAGAACACCGGUGGCGAAAGCGCUCUGCUAGGCCGCAACUGACGCUGAGGCGCGAAAGCUAGGGGAGCAAACGGG
rnacentral:rRNA from 1 species